UACGUAGGUGGCAAGCGUUGUCCGGAUUUAUUGGGCGUAAAGCGCGCGCAGGCGGUCCUUUAAGUCUGAUGUGAAAUCUCGCGGCUCAACCGCGAGCGGUCAUUGGAAACUGGGGGACUUGAGUGCAGAAGAGAAGAGCGGAAUUCCACGUGUAGCGGUGAAAUGCGUAGAGAUGUGGAGGAACACCAGUGGCGAAGGCGGCUCGUUGGUCUGUAACUGACGCUGAGGCGCGAAAGCGUGGGGAGCGAACAGG
rnacentral:rRNA from 1 species